rnacentral:lncRNA from 1 species
AAUACGACACGUAAAGAAACCUGGAUUGAAACAAAGAAAUGAAGAACACUAGAAAUGAAAUAAAUAAAGGUAUCCUGGCUUCCUCCCACACCCCAAAGCUGUGCACACGAGGUGAACUAGCGUACCCACAUGGACCUCAUCUGUGUGAGUGUGGGUGUGUUUGAGUGCACCCUCUGAUGGCAUAUCAUCCUGUCCAGGGUCGUUCUUCUAUUGCUCUGAACUGCCAGGAGUGGCUCUACCCACCUGUGACCCCAAACUCGUCUCAGCAGACAUGGUUUCCCUUUAUCGCUGAAGCUGGAAUACAGGGAUUAUAGCUCACUGCAGCCUUCGGCUCCUGGGCUCAAGUGAUAAUCUUGCCUCGGUAUCCCAAGUUGCUGAGUACCUGAGACUAAAGAAUCUUGGGAUACUUCAGAGAACAAUUCUCAAACAACAACUUCAAACUGACAGACAGACUUCAAGGAACUAUGCAGGAUAGAUGGGUGGCCAAAUGACAAGCUUGGAAAGCUACAAGGGAGUGCUACCUGCUCCUCUCCGUCCAUUCUUUGCUCUCUACUCUGAACUCCAUGUCUUCCACCAAGGUUCACUUCACCACUGUGUCAUUAAAAUGUUCAGUACCAAUAUGCAGACUGUCCGCAAUGAUAGGUAUAAACUGUUCAAGAAGACACCCAUUUCUAGCAAAAUUUCUGACUCCUUUCAAAAUAAAAAUUGGCCCUCUUACAGUAAUUUCACACUGAUAUAUGGCAGGGAUUAAUCCAAAAUGCCUGCAUAUAUUCAGGAUAGCUUUCCUGAGUUGAUUGGCCUUUGACUGUGAAAUUUUAACUACAAAAAUCAAGUUUAUGAAUCAUAUUUGUAUGUACAAAGACAUUCACUGUCAACUGACCUGUGAAAACAUAAAUCAUAUUACCAGUAUGGGGAUUAUUAUUAUAAAAGAAAUCUUUAUGUAGAGAAGAAUUACUAAUGAGUCAAAGCAAACUCUCCCUUUUAAUGAACAAUUCCUGAAAUGUUUCAUAAUGCAGGAAAAAUUCCAGUCUGUCUACAACCCUUUCCCUAUAGCUCUGUGGUUCUGUAUGAUAAUGAGGGAAAUUUAUUAUUGC